rnacentral:rRNA from 1 species
AUGAGAGUGUUGCCUUCAGUCAUUCAUGAAACACUCAAAGCUGUGGUUGCCCAAUACAAUGCAAGUCAGCUAAUCACACAGAGAGAGGCUGUGAGCAGGGAGAUCAGGAAGAUUUUGACAGUGAGGCUAAGAAUUUCAAUAUUGCUCUGGAUGGUGUGUCCGUUACUAGUCUCAGUUUUGGUAAAGAGUUCACUCAUGCUAUUGAAGCCGAACAGGUUGCUGCACACCAAGCUGAGCAUGCCAAGUUCAUUGUUGAGAAGGCUGAGCAAGACAAGAAAAGUGCAAUUGUUCUUUAUGCCCUGUUGA